GAAAUGCGAUAAGUAAUGUGAAUUGCAGAAUUCAGUGAAUCAUCGAAUCUUUGAACGCAUCUUGCGCUCCUUGGUAUUCCUUGGAGCAUGCCUGUUUGAGUAUCAUGAAAUCUUCAAAGUAAAUCUUUUGUUAACUCAAUUGGUUUCUACUUUGGUAUUGGAGGUCUUUGCAGCUUCACACCUGCUCCUCUUUGUUCAUUAGCUGGAUCUCAGUGUUAUGCUUGGUUCCACUCGGCGUGAUAAGUUAUCUAUCGCUGAGGACACUGUAAAAGGUGGCCAAGGUAAAUGCAGAUGAACCGCUUCUAAUAGACCAUUGACUUGGACAAUACUUUUAUGAUCUGAUCUCAAAUCAGGUAGGACUACCCGCUGAACUUAAGC
rnacentral:misc_RNA from 1 species